AUACGGAGGGUGCAAGCGUUGCUCGGAAUCACUGGGCGUAAAGCGAACGCAGGCGGCCCGGCAAGUCGGGUGUGAAAGCCCGGGGCUCAACCCCGGAAUUGCACUCGAAACUGCCGGCCUUGAGUACGGGAGAGGGAAGCGGAUUUCCUAGUGUAGAGGUGAAAUUCGUAGAUAUUAGGAGGAACACCCGUGGCGAAAGCGGCUUCCUGGCCCGAUACUGACGCUCAUGUUCGAAAGCGUGGGGAGCAAACAGGAUUAGAAACCCAAGUAGUCC
rnacentral:rRNA from 1 species